rnacentral:tRNA from 1 species
GCCUUCGUGGCGUAGUGGUUAGCACGCUCGACGCGUAACCGGGAAGUCCGUGUUCGAUUCCCGGCGAAGGCA